rnacentral:lncRNA from 1 species
UCCCAGGGGCUCCUGGAUGAGCCCAUGCUCUCAUUACCAUGUUAAACCAACUGGAUCUAAGUUUGUCUGCAACACCAAAAUCAAUACAGCACAUCUUAAUUUUUAUUUUUACAUCCACAGGGAAAGCCAGGGGAGCCAGGAUUGGAUGGUUUCCCUGGUCUCAGAGGAGAGAAAGGAGAGAGGAGUGAAAGAGGCGAGAAGGGUGAACGAGGAAUACCAGGGAGAAAAGGGGCCAAAGGACAGAAGGGGGAGCCAGGCCCUCCUGGACUGGAUCAGCCUUGUCCUGUGGUACGUCUUUCAUUUCAUUUCACUCACCCUAAGCACGGGCUGCCAGGGCUGAAAAGGAGACACAGCUUUGCAGGCACAGCUUUGCAGCCAGGGAAAAGCAGGGAGGAUUUGGGAGUUCUCUCUUUUGCAGUAAAUCAGAGCAGAUGGUUAUUGUUUUCUCACUUUUUGUAAUGGUUUAUCUGCACUGCUGGAAGUUCACUGCUUACUGUAAGGGCUCCUCACUGGCCAGAUGGGAGCAAGCCACAGCAGUAAAAAUAAAGCAUCUUUGUGUAAAAACCUUCUUAUUGUA